UACGUAGGGUGCAAGCGUUGUCCGGAAUUAUUGGGCGUAAAGAGCUCGUAGGCGGUUGUCGCGUCUGCUGUGAAAACCCGAGGCUCAACCUCGGGCCUGCAGUGGGUACGGGCAGACUAGAGUGCGGUAGGGGAGAUUGGAAUUCCUGGUGUAGCGGUGGAAUGCGCAGAUAUCAGGAGGAACACCAAUGGCGAAGGCAGAUCUCUGGGCCGUAACUGACGCUGAGGAGCGAAAGCAUGGGGAGCGAACAGG
rnacentral:rRNA from 1 species